rnacentral:piRNA from 1 species
UGUGUCUAUUACACUGGCCUAUAAUCGUGUU